UUGGAGGGCAAGUCUGGUGCCAGCAGCCGCGGUAAUUCCAGCUCCAAUAGCGUAUAUUAAAGUUGUUGCAGUUAAAAAGCUCGUAGUUGAAUUUCGGGGUCAGUAGGUUGGUCAUGCCACUGGUAUGUACUGGCCUCACUGAUUCCUCCUUCCUGAUGAGCCGUAAUGCCAUUAAUUUGGUGUUGCGAGGAAUCUGGACUGUUACUUUGAAAAAAUUAGAGUGUUUAAAGCAGGCUAACGCUUGAAUACAUUAGCAUGGAAUAAUGAAAUAGGACGUUCGAUCUUAUUUUGUUGGUUUCUAAGAUUGACGUAAUGAUUAAUAGGGAUAGUUGGGGGCAUUAGUAUUCAAUUGUCAGAGGUGAAAUUCUUGGAUUUAUUGAAGACUAACUACUGCGAAAGCAUUUGCCAAGGAUGUUUUCAUUAAUCAAGAACGAAAGUUAGGGGAUCGAAGACGAUCAGAUACCGUCGUAGUCUUAACCAUAAACUAUGCCGACUAGGGAUCGGAUGAUGUUAAUUUUUUAAUGACUCAUUCGGCGCCUUACGGGAAAC
rnacentral:rRNA from 3 species